GCGCUUCCCUAGGUAAAAUAACAUUAGCUUGACUGAAAUUAUUAACUGUCGCAACAUUGUCAAAAAUUGCAGAGCAAUCGAAGUGACAGGUCAGUGCCACAGCCUCAAACUAUUCAUGACUGAUAGGAAGACAUGAAGAAGUGGCCUCAUAUAACGAACAAGGAAAUGUUUAACCAUUUUGUGUCGGCACUUGGUGCGGACGGCUCUGCAAUGCCAAUGUACCGAGCCGAACCUCCACAGUGGAAAAGUUGGCACAGAGUUUAUAAAUAGCAACAUGGAUAAACUGGUAUUCAUGGAGGCUGAUGCCCAUUCAAGCCAAAGCAAGUCCGACGUUCACUCUGCUGGAUCCUGACUACAUCACAGAGAUACCGGAGUGCUCUGGUGCUGCGACUCCAGGGGAAGUCCUUCAGAUCUGCAGAUUGUGCAUCUUUUUCAGAUAAGUGAAAGCCUGAUUUCUGGUUCAUUGAUGCUGCUUAAGGUCAUUCAAAUUUGGGUAAUAUUCUGUCGGCACACCACCUCUUCCUGUCUGUAAAGGUGCAGUUUGCCAUGGUCUGACUGGAUUGUCCUGAACAGAUAAGCGCCAUCCCCAAAAGGCUGAAUGAUGGAUGUUUCCUGCACCACAAAGAAUUAAACAACAAACAAAAAACAACAACGAAUCUACAAAUAUGCUAUAAGUGAAAUGAAAUAAGUGAAAUGUUUAAACUUAACGUAUUACCAUUUUAAAAGUGAAAUUUAAUUACAUUUAAUGUAAAGGAAUGGCAUAAAUUA